CAUAGCGACUAUCGUGGCAUAUCAAUAAGCGGAGGAAAAGAAACUAACUAGGAUUCCCUCAGUAACGGCGAGUGAAGCGGGAAGAGCUCAAAUUUGAAAUCUUCAAGGUUUUACCUUGACGAAUUGUAGUUUAAAGAAGUGUUUUCUGUUGGUGUUUUGGUAAAAGUUCUUUGGAAUAGGACAUCAUAGAGGGUGAGAAUCCCGUAUUUGACCAUUACUUCCAGCGUUGUGAUACACUUUCAAAGAGUCGGAUUGUUUGGGAAUGCAGUCCAAAAUGGGUGGUAAAUUUCAUCUAAAGCUAAAUAUUGGCGAGAGACCGAUAGCGAACAAGUACCGUGAGGGAAAGAUGAAAAGAACUUUGAAAAGAGAGUUAAACAGUACGUGAAAUUGUCAAAAGGGAAGCGUUUGACACCAGUGUUGUUUUCUCGAAAAUCAAUUAAAAAUAAGUUGGAUUUUGUGUUGUAUUGACCUUAAAAGCUUUCUUCACUCUUUUCAUGUUUAUUUUUAAUGCACUUUUCGUUUAACAAGUCAACAUCAGUUUCUUUUGUUGUAAAAGGGUCAUUGGAAGGUGGCUUUCUUUUCGGAGAAAGUGUUUAUAGCCUUUGAUCUCUGCAACCGGAGAGACUGAGGUCUGCAGCGUAGACUCUUCGGGGUUAGAUACAUUUGUGCUAAGCUAUAGCUUUUUAUAGACAACUUGUUGACUAUAUUUAGUCUUGUGGCUUACUCGCUUAUGCUAUUUUACCUACGCUUAGGAUGUUGAUAUGCAUGACUGAUAU
rnacentral:rRNA from 1 species